rnacentral:rRNA from 1 species
CUACGGGGUGCUGCAGUUAGGGAUAUUCGGCAAUGGGGGAAACCCUGACCGAGCAAUGCCGCGUGAAUGAAGAAGUAUUUCGAUAUGUAAAGUUCUGUUGUUAAGGAAGAAAGGUACGAAUAGGAAAUGAUUCGUAAUUGACGGUACUUAACCAGAAAGCCCCUGCUAACUACGUGCCAGCAGCAGCGGUAAUACGUAGGGGGCGAGCGUUAUCCGGAAUUAUUGGGCGUAAAGGGUGCGUAGGCGGCCUGUCAAGUCCGAGUUGAAAGCCCACGGCUUAACCGUGGAGGGUGCUCGGAAACUGAUAGGCUUGAAUCCAGAAGAGGGAAGUGGAAUUCUAUGUGGAGCGGUGGAAUGCGUAGAUAUAUGGAGGAACACCAGUGGCGAAGGCGGCUUGCUGGGCUGGUAUUGACGCUGAUGCACGAAAGCGUGGGGAGCAAACAGGAUUAGAUACCCUUGUAGUC